ACGGGGAGCACCACAACAGGUGGAGCCUGCGGUUUAAUCGGACUCAACGCCGGGAAAACUCACCAGAUAAGACAGCUGAAUGAUAGUCGGGCUGAAGACUCUACUUGACUAGCUGAGAGGAGGUGCAUGGCCGUCGUCAGUUCGUACUGUGAAGCAUCCUGUUAAGUCAGGCAACGAGCGAGACCCACGCCAACAGUUGCCAGCUCGUCCUCCGGGAUGGUGGGGACACUGUUGGGACCGCUCUGCUAAAGAGGAGGAAGGAAUGGGCAACGGUAGGUCAGCAUGCCCCGAAUUAUCUGGGCUACACGCGGGCUACAAUGGGUGGGACAAUGGGUAUCGACACCGAAAGGUGAAGGCAAUCUCCUAAACCCAUCCGUAGUUCGGAUUGUGGGCUGCAACUCGCCCACAUGAAGCUGGAAUCUGUAGUAAUCGUGUCUCAAAAUGGCACGGUGAAUAUGUCCCUGCUCCUU
rnacentral:rRNA from 1 species